GUUAGUGCCCACAGAGUUAGGGCUAACAAAACAGCCUUGGAUUUUCUUUGGCCCACCGGUGGGAAUCUACGCCAUUGCAAAUACACCGGAUCAAUACCAAAGGCUAAGGUAUCUGCCAAAUGCUCCACUUGCAGAGUACACAGAUGCUGCGAUGCUGGAAAAAUCCUUGAAGCAGAGCCUCCCUGAGUCCAUAAAGUCCAAACAGGAGAUGACAGAUGAUCUUGAUCACUACACCAAUACUUACCAGAUAUCAAGAAAUGUCAGGAACUCCUUGGCUCACCAGAAGUCAUCAACUGGAAACAACAUUUGCAGAUUCAAAGUACACAGUCCAAACAGGAUGAAGUGAUAGAAAGUCUUGUAGCUAUUAAAGCCUGCAAGGUCAUAAAAACACAGUGCUUUCUCUAUGUGGUUUCUGAGGCAUCAAAGAAAUUGGCUCUUUCUCUGCUGAAUGCAAAGAAGUUACCACCCAGUGGUGGCAAACACACG